rnacentral:rRNA from 1 species
UACGGGGGGAGCAAGCGUUGUUCGGAUUUACUGGGCGUAAAGGGCGCGUAGGCGGCCACUGCAAGUCAGUUGUGAAAUCUCCGGGCUUAACUCGGAAAGGUCAACUGAUACUGCAGGGCUAGAGUGCGGAAGGGGCAACUGGAAUUCUCGGUGUAGCGGUGAAAUGCGUAGAUAUCGAGAGGAACACCUGCGGCGAAGGCGGGUUGCUGGGCCGACACUGACGCUGAUGUGCGAAAGCUAGGGGAGCGAACGGG